rnacentral:ncRNA from 1 species
AAUAGCUUGAUCGAUUCGUAUAACCUCAAAGAUACGGUUUGAGGGUCUCUACAAGGAACCAUAAAUUCCUGGCUACGAACGGGGU